rnacentral:lncRNA from 15 species
UGAUGAUGAUGAUGAUGAUGAAGACCACUGUGAGGAACAUAGACAGUGAUGAUGAUGAUGAUGAUGAUGAUGAAGACCACUGUGAGGAACAUGAUGAUGAUGAUGAUGAUGAAGACCACUGUGAGGAACAUAGACAGUGAUGAUGAUGAUGAUGAUGAUGAAGACCACUGUGAGGAACAUAGACAGUGAUGAUGAUGAUGAUGAUGAUGAAGACCACUGUGAGGAACCCGUUGUUACACCAGCUGUUGUUGAUGAGCAGGGACAGUCCCCCUCCUGUCUUCAUGCCGGUCCCGGUGCUGUCCCUGUCGGCUCCAACCGUCUGGAAGCCGGGAAUGGUGACGAUGGAGUCCGGUAUCUUCUCCUCCUCAGCUCCUCCUCAGCUCCUCCUCAGCUCCUCCAGUAUGGAGGCUCUCUCUCCAGUCAGGAUGCCAGAGGGCCUCAGGGCGAUCAUCUCAUCAUCAUCGCGGGUGAAAACAAUGCGACUCCCCGUCGCCAUGGAGACCAGCGUAAAAAUAAAAAGUGCUCAAAAACGCCAAAAAAGUAUCUAGGCAACAUGAACAAAGUGAGGAGGCAGUAUGGACAAGGUGAGGAGGAUCCUGGUGUCUGUCUGCAGGGAGCGAGCUGCUCCUCAGCGAGCUCUGUUUGUCCAGAGCGUAACGGGGCAAUUCAGUGACGGCAGGGCAGAUGAGGUGGAGGUGAACUGCUCUCUGGAGAAGAACCAGUUCAUUCUUUACAGAGGAGACAAAGAACGAGGGGUUCCUCUGAAGGUAAUAUUUACCCCCUGUCUCUAAUAUUUACCCCUCUGUCUCUAAUAUUUACCCUCUGUCUCUAAUAUUUACCCUCUGUCUCUAAUAUUUACCCCUCUGUCUCUCAUAUUUACCCCUCUGUCUCUAAUAUUUACCCCCUGUCUCUAAUAUUACCCCCUGUCUCUAAUAUUUACCCUCUGUCUCUAAUAUUUACCCCUCUGUCUCUAAUAUUUACCCUCUGUCUCUAAUAUUACCCCCUGUCUCUAAUAUUUACCCUCUGUCUCUAAUAUUUACCUCUCUGUCUCUAAUAUUUACCCCUCUGUCUCUAAUAUUUACCCCCUGUCUCUAAUAUUACCCCCUGUCUCUAAUAUUUACCCUCUGUCUCUAAUAUUUACCCCUCUGUCUCUAAUAUUACCCUCUGUCUCUAAUAUUUACCCUCUGUCUCUAAUAUUACCCUCUGUCUCUAAUAUUACCCUCUGUCUCUAAUAUUUACCUCUCUGUCUCUAAUAUUUACCCCUCUGUCUCUAAUAUUACCCCCUGUCUCUAAUAUUUACCCCCUGUCUCUAAUAUUUACCCUCUGUCUCUAAUAUUUACCCCUCUGUCUCUAAUAUUUACCCUCUGUCUCUAAUAUUUACCCCCCUGUCUCUAAUAUUACCCUGUCUCUAAUAUUUACCCUCUGUCUCUAAUAUUACCCUCUGUCUCUAAUA